GGAUCUGUAGUUCAACGGCAGAACGAUACUCUUAUAAAGUAUAAGAGAAGGUUCGACUCCUUCCAGAUCCA
rnacentral:tRNA from 2 species